rnacentral:rRNA from 1 species
GGGGGAAUAUUGCGCAAUGGGCGGAAGCCUGACGCAGCCAUACCGCGUGUGUGAAGAAGGCUCUAGGGCCGUAAAGCACUUUAAGUAGGGAGGAAGGCCUAAGGGUUAAUACCUUUUAGGAUUGACGUUACCUACAGAAUAAGCACCGGCUGACUCCGUGCCAGCAGCCGCGGUAAUACGGAGGGUGCAAGCGUUAAUCGGAAUUACUGGGCGUAAAGCGCGCGUAGGCGGUUUGUUUAGCGAGAUGUGA